AGCAGGAGUCUGGCGGCAGAGAGGCCGAUUGAUGAGAUGCCGAGGUCUGCAGCCCCAACUGGAGGCGCCCUGGAAGAGUGAGAUGGAGUGGGGAGGGGGUGGACCGGGCAGGGGAGGAGGCAAAGAGUCUGUUUCCCUGGCCCAAGGAGGCCGAGUGGAGCCGGCCCAGAGAUGAACGCAUCGGGGAGCUGCCAAGGUGCUUUGGCUCUAGCAGACAGGAAGAAAUUCUGGCCCAGCUGGAAGUAGAAAGAGGGGAGUGAGUCUCCUGAGGACCAUCUCAGAGGCCCCGGGAUCACCCAAACAAUGACGGCAACCGCCCAGCCACCCUCCAAGGCCCAGG
rnacentral:sRNA from 1 species